GACGAACGCUGGCGGCGUGCCUAAUACAUGCAAGUCGAACGCAGUGGGGACGGUUGAGUAACACGUGGGUAACCUCCCAUCAGAGGGGAUAACACUUGGAAACAGGUGCUAAACCGAUACUGAUGGAUGAGCCCGCGGUGCUUUCGCUAGUUGGGGAGGUAACGGCUCACCAAGGCCACGAUGCAUAUCCGCCCUGAUGGGGUGAUCGGCAACACUUGGACUGAGACACGGCCCCGAUUCCUACGGGAGGCAGCAGUAGGAAUUCUUCGGCAAUGGACGAAAGUCGGACCGAGCAACGCCGCUGGAGUGAAGAGGGUUUUCGGAUCGUAAAACUCUUUUGUUAGAGAAGCGGUAUCUAACCAGAAAGCCACGGCUAACUACGUGCCAGCAGCCGCGGUAAUAC
rnacentral:rRNA from 1 species